AAACACAAUACAUCACAUAUAUUUCACAUCCUUCAAAGAUAUCUCAUAUUCAUUACAUAAAUCUCACAUCCAUCACAUAAAUUUCAUUCGCAUCACAUAAAUCUCACAUCCAUCACAUAAAUAUCAUGCACAUCACAUAAAUCUCACAUCUAAACAAAUCCACAAGUACAAAUCCACAAGUUCAUCACAAGUCCAUCUAAACAAAUCCACAAGUCCAUCACAAGUCCAAAUAACUAACACAAGUGCAUCAUACGUUCAUCACCAACCGAACAAACAAAUGCAAAGAGAACUACCCGGCUCCACAAGGUCCCCACUAUGACUGUGGUGUACCAUGACCUGGAUCAUUAGAGGGUCUGAUAGGUGGAUUAUUCGAACCGACAGAUGGAGGCUGUACAAAAGAGAAGACAUUGCAUGUGUCAAACAAAAAAUCCAUUAGGCUCCAUGUAGUAUUGUGGUUUGAUCCUAAGCAAUUAGCAACAAACUUAAACACUCAUACUCAUACUUACAGGAAUACUGUGCGCGGGAGGUGGAGGUGGAGGUAUAGCGAAUAGCGAAGGUGGCGCAGCUUGAUCCGUAUGUUGCCCAAG
rnacentral:lncRNA from 1 species